rnacentral:rRNA from 1 species
GACGUAGGUGGCGAACGUUAUCCGGAAUUACUGGGCGUAAAGCGUGCGCAGGCGGUAAGUUAAGUCUGAUGUGAAAGCCCCGGGCUCAACCUGGGAAUGGCAUUGGAAACUGGCUUGCUGGAGUGUGGCAGAGGGGGGUGGAAUUCCGCGUGUAGCAGUGAAAUGCGUAGAGAUGCGGAGGAACACCGAUGGCGAAGGCAGCCCCCUGGGCCAACACUGACGCUCAGGCACGAAAGCGUGGGGAGCAAACAGG